UUUAGGGAUUAGGGAAUUGAUUUUUAUGAUUGCAUUGCAUUUGCAAUGCCAUUCGACAUACGAAUGCCUAUAGUGAGUGUUCAGGAGUUUACUAAUAGUGCUAAUACAUUUUAAUGCGAUUGAUAGCGUUUUACUUUGUUCACUUGAGGCUAUUCGGUAUUUAGGGAUUAGGGAACUGAUUUUUAUGUAUUCAGUUCAUUUGGUUUAAUUAAAUUGCGCCGAAUGAACGAAUGGGAUUAUCCGAAAUGAAAAAAACUAAUGAAUUUCGUACGAAAACGAAUGGAAGAAUGGACAAAUUUCUGUUCUGACUAAACAAUUUUUUUUUCCGGAUGAAUACAUUCUUCCGAAACGAAAAUUUCUGAAGUGCCCAAGUCUACCAGUUAUGAUAUUAAAUCUACAUCUUGUGUCAUUUUUUAAUGUAUAUUACAAUGUUUCUUGUAUGCAGACAAUGUCUGCUUUUUGUUUUACUGCUUCUAUCCAUAAUAAUAUAUGUUUGUGGGGUGAACCUUUUAACAUUUGUAGAUAAUGUGUUUUUUUG